GUUAGAAGCACAGCUUGCCUGAUGCAUUAAAUACAUUUUGCUGAUGUCUUGCACCGGGUUACAAACUUGAAUUUGAGGGUUUUUCUUUCCUCACUUGCUUUUGUUCUUACUUAGGAUUCACUGUCUCCUGAGAGACUCCUCCUGAGAGUGUGGUACCCACUGGGUUGUCCGUUAAGGAAGCCUGAGGAUUUAAGCCAUUUUUUGGUUGCCAGACCAUUGCCUUCCUCUAGCUCUCUAGCUCAUGCCUCCCUCAUCUUCUUCCUCUCUGGUUUGGCAGUGGAUAAGAAAACCAGGCAAGAGCCAGACCAUUACAGAGCUAUGGAAAUUCGUCUCGUCCAUCCUAGAAAAAAGAAAGGCAUGUGGAGGCUACGCACAGAAUGGUGUUAGGGUAGAGUAAGGGUGGAAAGCUGCUGAGAAGACAACUCCAGUAUUGCUCAAGUGUGAGCGGCCGCUUGGGACAGGGAAACAUGGG
rnacentral:lncRNA from 1 species